UGGUAGAAACAGUAAUAUUCAUUGCACCAUUAAAGUUGGGAAGAUACAAAUGCAACUGAUUUAAAGACGGAAUAUUUUUUAUUAAAAAAAAUAGGUGUUUAUACUUUAUAGAAACGUUAAAACAUUGAGAGGGAUCUCAUAGCCUCGUUAACCAAAAUCAAAAUCUAUGAAGAUUAGACCCAAAUUAAGAUUUGAAUAAAGCAUGUAAUACUAACCAAGUUGUUCCAUUUAUUUGCAACUCCAGAAUCCAUUGAUCAAGUUAGACUUGGCAGGUGCGCUCUGAGAAGAAUAAUGAAGCACAACAGACACAUUUAAGAUAACAUAGUAGCAAAAGUAAUGGAACUACUAUUGCAUUAUGAAACUUCAGAUCCUAACAUAGUAUCAUGACUUGAAUUUGACAGUCCAUUAAAAAUAAUUGUUCUUUAAAAAAAUGCCCUGAACUUGUUGAAGGAUGAUCAUGGUCUGUAACUGCAAUCCUAAAAAUAAAUACUAAAAUUAAAUUACUUUUACAUCACAUAUAUACCUUAAAAUCCUUAUGAACAAUAUUCCAAUCUUGUGCCAACCAUUAUAUAUUUGUGAGCAAAACUGAUGCAUGACAGAUUUAGGGUGAAGGAUUAAUGGACAAUAAACUAGGAUUUAACUCCACGUUUAAACCACUAAGAUCUCUCAAGUGUAUCAACUCCACGUAUUAACACCAAGAUGGAAAAAUACAUCUACGGUAGGAUACCUCUAAGAUAUGAAUAAAAUAAUUCACUUCAAUAUCAAUAGAAUGUAGUCUAAAAGGCUUGUGAGGAUUACAUCACUAUUUAAAGAAACUCAAACCCUAAUAUUACUUGGCGAAUAAUAAAAUACUAAACGACUAACAUACCAUUAUUAAUAAUUUCUAAUCACUAAUUAAUGUCCUAAAUCCCCACUAAAAAAUAAAAUACAUAAAUCACAUCAACUACUUUUUUAUUAAACAUAAUAAAAACUCCAAAUAAUAAAUAUAAAAAAUCUCUUCUUCUUUGUUCUUUACUUGGAGUCCCCAUCAUUCUCCUCUUGUUGGAGAGACCUCGAGUUCUAUAAUAUGAGAAAAUAAGCAAUGAACUCCUCCGCAACGAAAGAACAUCUUGAAACACCUUUGACAAAAUCAUCACACGGUAUGACUCAAAAAAAAUUUAAAAAAAUAUUGAUGAGAGCCUUGGUUUUGAAUUCGAAGGUGCUAAAAAGAAGCUUUCUGGAACAACGAAAUCAACAACGCCAACUUGAAUUGAAUCAACUUCUCAAAUCGUCUUUUCUUCGGUCAUGAACUCCUCAAAAGUAACGUUAGAGGUUUUCUCAAUUUGUUCCUCAUAUAUAAUCUAUGGUUCAACUUUUGAAACUUCAAGAAUUUCCAUGGACACGUUCUGUAGCCCCAAAAUUUGAAACAUCCUCUUUUUCUUUCUAUUGCUCUGCUUGAAAAUGUGCUCGCAAGUCAAUAAGGUCUUCUUUUAUAGAAGAUAUGUCAUCUAUUGAUAAAGAGAUGUGAUCUAUUAAAGAAGAACAUAUAAAAAUCAUAUCAUGUGUAGCCUUUUGAAGUUCUUUUGUUUUAACUUAUUGACGUUUCUUUACUUCAGCUUUUCUUUGUUCAUCUCGGCGUUGCAAUUCUCCAAGGUAUUCUUGUGCAUCAACCAUAUCUCAUCUAAGUUCUUCCUACUUGCGCUUCAAAUAUCUAUAACCACAUGUAUUAAUAAGGUAAUAAAUUUGAUCAUUUUUAUUGUCAAGUAACCAAAUAUACUCUUUUGUUUCGACAAUCAAUUCUUUAGUGACUAGAGACAUUGGGUGUUUGGGACAAUGGGUUAUAAUAUAAAUAAAUAAAUAAAAUAAAACUUAUUUUUUUUAUAAAUUAAGGGCCUAACUGAAAAGAAAAUAAAAAACAGGGGCUAAAAUAUGAAUUCAGAAGUGUAGGGGCUAAUUUAGAAAGAAUGAAAGGGUAUAAGUGAAAAGUGUAUAAACAACGAGGCUAAAAUUUAAAAGUUAAGAAAACCAUGAGAUGUAAACUGCAAUUUUGAAAAUAUAUUUAUAAGAUUACCUAUUAGGGUUAAGAGCAGCAACAGCAAAGCAGAGCACUAGCAAGAAGUUUUUUUCCGUUUUUUUUUCUUUUUCAGCGAACAACAACCCCGAUGAACAGUAACUCUGACGAUGAAUAAUAACUCCGGCGAUGAACAGUAACUUUUUUCCUCUUUUUUUUUAUACCCAAGAUCCCCAAACACUGAAAAAUUAAUGGAGAGACCUUAAACUUUGAUACCAAAAAUGAUGUAGGACAAAUUUAAGGUAAAGGAUUGAUGUACAAUAAACUAGGAUUUAAACUCCACGUUUAAACCACUAGGAUCUCUCAAAUGUAUCAACUCCACGUAUCAACACCAAAAUGAAAAAAUACAUUUUCGCUAUGAUACCUCUACGGUAUGAAUAAAAUAAUUUAUUUCAAUAUCAAUAGUAUGUAGUCUAAAAGACUUGUGAGGAUUACAUCACUAUUUAAAGAGACUUGAACCUAAUAAUACUUUGGGAAUAAUAAAAUACGGCAAAACUAAUGAUUUGGCCACCGAAGUUGGCACGUUUUAUUGAAUACCUGAUUGAACUUUUAAUUUUUCGAAUUAACUCACUCAACUAAUUAUUAUUUUCAAAUUGGGUCAUUCUGUCAAAUCUGGUUAACGGCUGUCAAAAUUUUUCAUACAUGGAAGCAAAAAAAAUAAUAAAAUAAAAUAAAAAAUGAGGUGGCCAACCAGCAACAAUGACAUGGAAAUAAAAAUAAAAAAUUUAUUUUUUUACUCUUUUUUAACAUUUUAAAGUUUUUAAAAUGACAAAAAUAUAAUAAAACACAAUAAAAAUUAAUAAAAAUAAAAACAUUUUUUCAUUCAUUAAAUUAAAUUUAUUUAUCAAGUCUUAAUCAAUUAAAAAACCAAACAUAUGUUCCUUAAAAAAAAGACAACAUUAAAAGUAAAAAAAUCAAAAACAUUCAAAACAGAUCUAGAUCGGGGAAGAUUCAAAACCAAAUCUUAAUCAAGUUCUUUCGUACGCGCGAGGUGGCCUCCGAGAGGGAGUCUGGGCGGGAGAGGGAAGAUCGGUCGACGAGCUCGUACCAGGGGCGGCGCUAGGAGAAGGCAUGGCGGACGAAGGAAGAGAGGCAUAAACGCGCGGAAGGCGGGGGUGGCUAUCGGCGGCUGAGAUUGGGGGUUGGCGGUGGUUGAUUGGGGACUUGAGAUCGGGAGAGUUUGUGGUGAAGCCAUUUCGCGGGAGAGAAGGAAAAAGACAAAGCGAAAGCUGAGUGCUUUCGUUGCAAUUUGCAGAAAAAGGGGCGGAGUAGGAGAAAGAUAAUUCAAACAUAUUGGUUUAUUUGACUGAGAAAAAGGGGCGGAGUAGGAGAAAGAUAAUUCAAACAUAUUGGCGGACGGAGGAAGAUAAUCCUCAUAUGUAUCUAGAUUUGUUUUGAAUGCUUUUAAUUUUUUUAUUUUUAAUGUGUCUUUUUUUUUUAAGAAAAAUAUGUUUGGUUUUUUAAUUGAUUAAGAUUUCAUUUAUCUUGAUAAAUAAAUUUAAUUUAAUGAAUGAAAAAAUGUUUUAUUUUUAUUAGUUUUUAUUGUGUUUUAUUAUGUUUUUGUCAUUUUUAAAACUUUAAAAUGUUAAAAAUGAGUAAAAAAAUAAAUUUUUUAUUUUUAUUUCCAUGUCAUUGUUACUGGUUGGUCACCUCAUUUUUUAUUUUUUUUUCAUUUUUUUUUUGCUUCCACGUAUGAAAAAUUUUGACAGCCAAACCAGAUUUGACAGAAUGGCCGAAUUUAAAAAUAAUAAUUAGUUCAGUGAGUUAAUUCGAAAAAUUAAAAGUUCAAUCAGGUAUUCAAUAAAACGUGCCAACUUUGGUGGCCAAAUCAUUAGUUUUGCCAAUAAAAUACUAAACGACUAACAUACCCUUCUUAAUAAUUUCUAAUCGCUAAUCAAUGUCCUAAAUUCCUACUAAUAAAUAAAAUACAUAAAUCACAUCAACUACUUUUAUAUUAAACAUAAUAAAACUUCAAAUAAUAAAUAUAAAAAAUCUUUUCUUCUUUGUUCGUUACUUGGAGUCCCCAUAGAAAAACAUGAAAGCAUAAGCAUGGUUCGAAAUUGCGUUCGAGGCGCGCCUCGAAGCGAGGCGGUAGUUUUCUAUGGCGAGGUUUACGCCUUAAAGGGAAAUACUAAGGCUUGCGCAUCAUUUGGCUGAGGCUUACGCCUCAGUGCGUUGCGCCUCAAGGCGUAGGCCUUGAUUUGAAUUAAAAUAAACCCUAACUCUGUUCAGUUCUUCACAUUCGUGCAACAGAUCAGGCGAGCUUUGUGCGACUUCUUCUUCUCGAUUCUUCGUGCGGCGUAUCAGGUUCUGUCUUUUUCUCGAUUUUUUUCUUAUUACAGUGAAUUUUUUUUUUAUUACAGUGAAUGAGAUUCUUCUCUCACCCACCAGAUUCUUCUUCUUCUCGAUUUUUUUAAUUACAAUUAAUUGUUAUUAUGGGUAAGAAAGAUUCAACUUGAAAAUAUGGCACCGAAGCUCCUAGAGUUAAUAAAUCUCAUUUAUAUAUGGAAUGCAAUUUUUGCAAGAAAAUUUGCAGAGGGAUUACAAGGCUAAAAAAUCAUCUUGUGGGUAAUCAUAGUAAUGUUGAGACUUGCAAAAAAGAACCAAAUGGAGUGAAGGAAGAGCUUGCGUCAUAUAUGAAGAAAAGUAUCGACUCAAAGGAGGAAAGACAAAGAAAUGAAGCUGAAAAAAUACAAAGUAGGUCUUAUUAUGGUGGUCAUCCAUCCUUGGGAGGUUCAAGCGUGGGUAGUGCCUUCGCGAGGGGAGUUCGGGGACCCAUGGACAUAUUUGUUGUAGAUGUUGAUGCUAUUGAUGAUGAUGCUAUUACAAAGCGUACCGUAUUUUCAAAGGAGACUCGUAAUGCAGUCUGUCUUGAUAUUUGUAGAUUCUUCUUUUAAAACGGGAUUCCUUUUAAUGUUGCAGAUAGUCCUUCAUUUAUAAAUAUGUGUCGGUCAAUUGGGAACUAUGGUCGUGGUUUAAAACUCCCUAUUCCAUACGAGCUUAGUUCUUGGAUAUUGAAGGAGGAAGAUAAGACUACAAAGGCAUUUGUUGAGAAGGUAAAGAAGACUUGAGCACAUACAGGGGUGUCAAUCUUGUCGGAUGGUUGGAAAGAUAUUAGGGGAAGACAACUAAUAAACUUUCUUGUAAACAACCCCAUGACACUGUAUUUUUGAAAUCUGUUGAUGCAUCUGAUGCAGUUAAAGAUGCUAGUUUGAUGUUUAAACUACUUGAUGAGGUUGUUGAGGAAGUGGGAGAAACCUUGUCAUUCAAGUAGUCACUAACAAGGCAUCUAAUUAUAAGGUGGCAGGGAUAAUGUUAAUGGAGAAGAGGCCACGUAUGUGGUGGACACCGUGUGUCGCGCAUUGCAUCGAUUUGAUGUUUGAGAAGCUUGGAGAGUUGCCUCAACAUAAAAAUGCUUUGACAAAAGACAAAGAAGGUAAUUACUAUUAUUAUUUUUUGGAUAUAAUUUUUUUUAUUCAAUGAAUACUUGAAUUAUUUUUUUUUUUGAUGAAUACCAUUAUGUAAUUGUAGGUAAGCAACUUCAUAUAUAAUCAUGGAUGAGUCUUGGCAUUGAUCGGCCAGGCGCCACUAAAUUUGCCAGUGCUUAUUUAACUUUGCAGAGUAUGCAUAGUUUGAGACAGCCUUUGGAGGCAAUGCUUACAUCUAGGGAGUGGGCAAAUUGUACUUGGGCAAAAAAACCUGAAUGUAGUGAUAAGAAUUUUUGGGGUAGUGUAGGAUAUGCAAUUAAGACCACAAAACCUCUAGUAAGUGUAUUGAGAAUGGCAGAUUCAGAGAAGAUGUCGAGAAUGAGAUUUUUAUAUGGUGCCAUGGACAAUGCAAAAGAAGAGAAUGCAAAAAAUUUGGAUAAUGAGGGGGCCUAUAAAGAGAUAUGGAGCAUAAUAGUUGCUAAGUGGAACAAUCAGUUGCAUCGGCAUUUGCACGCUGCUGCAUAUUUUUUGAAUCCUCAUUUUCAAUAUGAUGACAAUUUUUGUGUCAAUGUGGAAGUUAAGGUGGGAUUAUACACUUGUAUGGACAAGCUUAUUCCUAACUCCGAGGAAAGAGAGAAAGCUGAUUUGCAAUUAAAUGCAUUCCGAUUGAGGCAAGGGUUAUUUGACUACACAAAUGCCAAAAACACGUGUAAGAAACGUGCUCCCGGUAAGUACCGUUGAUUAAUGUAUGGCUAUGCUUUCAUUUUGAUUAAACGUGCUCCCGGUAAGUACCGUUGUACCGGUAAGAUUGAUAUAUAUUUUAAUAUUGAUCCAGCUAAUUGGUGGAUCGCAUUUGGAGAUGAAGCUCCAGAAUUAAGAAACUUUGCAGUGAAGAUUUUGAGUUUAACUUGCUCAUCUUCGGCGUGUGAACGUAAUUGAAGUACUUUCAGUCAGGUAUUUAUUAGAUAUAAAUCAUUUAUAUUCUCAAAUCUAUUUACUAAGAUUUUAUGAGAUCUCACUAAUGCUCAAUUACUUGUAAUAAGAUAUAUACAAACAGAAGGAAUCGACUGUCCGCAUUCAAGCUCAACUCAUUCGCUUACAUUAUGUACAAUAAAAAAUUAAAAGAUCGGUACAUCAAAAAAAGGCACUAACAGAAGAAGCGGAUCCAUUGGUUGUUGAUGGUGUGCCAUCUGAUAAUGAGUGGGUUACGGGGGGAAAUGAUGAAAACAUCUCGAGAGUGACUUAAAAGCUUGAUGAUAUGGAGGAGGAGGGUGAAGGGACUCACGGGAAUGAAAUGACAGUUGAGGAGAAGAGACUAAUGUGAGGGAGAUUACACUUAGGGAAAUGGACUCGGGGAACAAGAAAGUAAACAAAAAAAUCAAAAGAGAAAGAGAAAGACUUUGCAGUCAAAAACUAAAACAAAAGGUUAGUGUCAUUACUUAAGUUGUCUUUAGACUUUAAAGUGUUCUUUAAAAAAACAACUCAUUAGUCAUUAUAUAUAUUCACUUGUUUAUUUCUAGAUAAAGGGAAGGGAUUGCAAUUGAUAGAUGAAUAAUCGGAGUAUGAGAAUCUUAGCAGUGACAAUGAGGAUGACAGAGCUAUUAGAUACGAUGAUGAUUUUAUGGAGGAUCCUCUUAGUGAUGAUAGGAAUGAUGAUGGAGAUGAUGGGGGGGAUGAUGAUCUAGGAUUUGAUCCAUUUUUCAGGUCGCUGGAUACAAAUGAUACACUACUUAUGUAGUGAUGGAUGAUCACUAUAUAAGUAGUUGAUGAUAUUAUGUUGUUUUGAUGUUUUAUAAUAAUACAUUAAGGUGACGUUGGUUAUUUAUGUCUUUUAUGGCCUUGAUUAUAAUGAUGAAUUAUUUUAUUAUUUUAUUAGUAUUUUUUUAUAAUUUUUUGGGGACUUUUAAGUUUUCAAAUCGAGGUUUAUACCUCGUCUCGUCCGGAAAAAAACGCGUCGUACCGUUUUUAGUUUUUUCGAACAUUGAGCAUACGCAUGGGUGGAGCCAAGCAAUCCCCAGCAGAGAGCAUGAUUGAUCAAGAAUGCCACCAAGAACUAGAACUUAGCGUAUCAAUGUAUAAAAAAAUAGCAUUUAAUUUUCAAGUCAUCGGUUAUUAGACCAUUCAAAUAAUUUUAAAGAAGCUUCUGACUGCCCUUCAUUUUUAUGACACUAUUUUUGCCAAAAAGUACACUACUGUUCUGAUUAUUCUUACAUUACAUGUAGAGUCCAGAAAAUUAUAGAUAAUUGUCACAUUAAUUUAAGCAGGUUAUUCAUAUUUGCAUUUAUUUGUAUCUGAUGCGGGGGAAGAGUCCAAUUCGAAAGUGGAUUAGGUGUUUAGGUGCGUUAGGGUCGGUAAACUUUUAAAAUGACAUAACUUUUGAUUCAUUUAGAGUUAGGGGGCCCAUAAUAGCUCUACAAGAGUCAUGGCCUUCGGCCAUGAGAAAUUAGUUUUUAAGCCAGAAAACCUGUUUUAAGUUGUUUUAUCAUUGGUCAAACUUGGAUUGUUUUUUUAAUUUUCAUUAUUUUAGUUCUCCUAAUCCUAGAUGUUGGUAAGUUGAUUAGGAUUAUAAAUACUCAUAUAUUAGGGCUCGUUAACAGUUACAUUUUAUUCAAUCAAUAUUUUAUAAUAUUUCUUUGUUCUCUUUUUGGUAGGUUUAAAACUUCAAAUCAUUGUAUGAAUCAAAUUAAAGUGCGAGAUCAAGGGAAAACCUUUUUCUUAAUUUCAAAUGGUGUGAUUGCAUGAAUUCCAGACCUUAUUACAGAAAACAAACCAUCAUAAUUGCAAACCUAGACAUACAAAGAUAAUAAUAUGUUGCAGUAGGAUCGAGAGAAUAAAUUUGAACACAUAACACAUAAGAACAGAUUAUAAAGGACGAUAGAGAGAAAUUACGGACCUUGUUUAGAUUCUUCUUCAUGCUUCUGGCUUGGUUUCGUAUUGACAAUUCGGGUUACCGAAGCUGUGACGGGGUAAGAGUGAAGCUGUAUUAUAUGGAUUCAGGUUGUGUGGACCGAGUUUGCGGGAAGAAGUGUAAUUGGAGUUGGUUAACCCGUAAAAUCAAAUAUUACCAAUUUUACAUGUUUGUUGGGUU
rnacentral:lncRNA from 1 species